AAGUGAAACGUUAAAAAAAAAGUUGGCCGUUUAUUCAAUUUCAGGGGUAGGCCAUACCAAGAGUAUAGCAGGACUCAUGUCUAUCCCUCAGAAGCUGCUUGAACUUAUUAAUCAAAUAAUCAAAGUAAGCUAUGAAAUUUCUGACAGGGAAGCCAAUAUGAAACUAUUACGCUGCUAGUCUGAGGCAGAGCCAAAGAGUUCUAUGAAGGAAACAUAUACGGAGGCAACAUUUCCGGUAAUUGCGAAGACUGUUUUAGCUUGCGAGUAGCACGUCAAGAAGCUUGACAGUUUCCUUCUCGAGAUGAGAAGAGAUGAGAUGCUAAGAUGAGAUGAUGGACUAUGAAAGAUUGACGGGAUUUUUGUCGCAAUCUAACACAACUCCAAUUCAAAUUUUGACUUCUGAAUUCAAGAUCUUACGUAAACAUUCUAAGAAGACCUCAAGACAUUUGACUUAUCACAUGUCGAAUUGGGAGUCAAAAGCAGCUUGCCUGUCCUGUAUGAUCCGAGAUCCGAGAAGACUUGAAGCAGAUUGAGAAAAGCGUGAGAGAAAUCAGGAGCUAGAAGAAGGAAGCCAUCAACGAGCUGGAAACGGAACAGCAGUGGUUUUGGUGAAAAAGACAAGUCAGAGUUAAUUAUGGAAGACUUUCGACAUGUAGCAGUCCUCAAAAGCCAAGGAGGAGGUGGAGGCUUUAGUUAUCUUGAGAUUCUGGAUAUAUGUUCCAACAAUUGGAGACAUAAGUAAACUUUAGAUUCUGGAUAUAUGCUCCAAAGAGACGCAUACAAGGGCUUGAGAGCUGUGUAGAUAUGUGGUUCGGUAAGAAGUCGGUAAACGUUUAUAUAAAUCUGCUGCUGUGAAGGGCAAGUAGCCGAAAAGUCUAUUUUUGCUUCGUAGCAAGAUCAUGAUAGAGUGAAGCGAUGCUGCACGAUGAAGCUGUGGAUUGAGAUUUUGCCAGCUGAAGAAAUUGGUUGCACAUGGCGGGGACAAUUACGAGAAGUGUCCAAGAUCGUGUGGUUUUUUGUUCUUCCCUCGUCUUCAGCGACCAUCGGGGGCCACAAGUCGCUCAGUGUAACUGCUUCGGGAAUCCCAGCGAUCCUGGUGUCGGUUAUUUGUUUGGGCGAGCUGAACUCAGGUACUUCAAGUAGUGUCUUGACCUGCCGCGCACAUCCUGUCUUGGAGAAUGAGUUCGUGUUCUUUGCCAAGCGCCAAUUGAUCGCGCUCUUCUUGGAAAUCAACUGUUGCGAGAUGAACGACAAUGCAGGGCCGCAUUGGGAGUUCCACAACAUCUGGGUAUUUGCCAUACGAGUGCUGCAUUCAUAUUCGUGGUGAAAGGUAAAGGAAUGAACAGACAAUUGUGGCUUUUGGGUCGGAUUUUGGAGAGGGUCUCCAGAAGCCAACCCAAAGAUAUGGUUUGUAAUAUUUACUAUAUACCACUGCUGCUGUCCUCAAGAAUGCAACACUUGCCUGGCAAUACUAAUCAAGAUAUGAGUCAACUGUUGAAGUUGCAUCUGCAUUGUCGUGCACCUCGUACUAGUUGGGUGCCAAGAAGAAUGUGAUCAGUUGCCGCUUGGCAAAGAACAUGAACGCUUCCUGCAAGACCUGGUGCCAGCAACGCCAACCCGAAUGAAUCAUCAGAAAGUAUCUGUGGACGUCUCGCCCAAGCAGGUAACCCACACCAAGAUCCUUGGGACUUGCGAUGAAGUUACACUGAGGUGGAUUGGGGGAACUGUGGUUGAUGGUUAAGUUUCAAUUCGUACCCAAUCCUUCUUGACAGCCAAAUAGGCGGCUCGCGAUCUACGGCGCCAUUGGCAAACAAUUGCUGAAGCUCACGGAAUUAUUCCACAACCUCAUCGUGCAGCGCUGUUUGGCUCAAUGAAAGGCGUAGGAUACGAUUAAUGAUCUGUGGUUCGCGUAACUAAGACGCAGCAAACACAGAUUAUUAGGUUGCUUGGGCUUUAACGGCAACAGCAUUAUAUAUAUGUUUAUUGUCUUCCUGCCAUCAACGUGAUUGCUCAGAGACGUCUACUCUGUUUUCGAAACCAAACCUGUCUCCUGCUAGUGCAAAGCCCCAAACAAAAUUUAAACUAAGACUGGAUGACCGACAUCGACUUGGAUGCCCUCAGUUGUCAUUGGCAAGGAAAUUAUUGAAAAACAAAGACUAGGCGAGGUGUUUACAGCCCCAUUUGGCAUGAAUAAUAAAAAUUAACUGUUGCAAGAAAUUUAAGUGUUUUAAGUCAUUUUAAUAAAAAAUUUAUGAAAUUUGUAACUUUUCAAAUCAA